rnacentral:snRNA from 1 species
GUACUCUCUGUGGCAGCACAUAUAACAAAAUUAAAAUGAUACAGGGACAAUUAGCAUGACUCCUGAGCAAGGAUGACAUUUAAAUUUGUGAAGCAUCCCAUAUUUAA